AUAGAAAGGGGGUACUCCCUCUAUAUAUAUGUAGUGGAACCUGGAAGCAUCUUUCUGUUCGAGCGGGUUGCUUCACGCGGAAAAUUAACGAAGUGGAUAGUUUAUAACUAGAACGGGGAUUUGGAUAAAAAUGUCUCGUCGAGAUUGGAGUUUCGAUUGCAAAGUAUAUGUUGGGAACCUAAACAGUGGAGCAGCCAAACAUGAAAUAGAGGCAGCUUUCAAUAAGUUUGGUCCUCUUAGAAAUGUCUGGGUUGCCCGAAACCCACCAGGAUUUGCAUUUGUUGAGUUUGAAGACAGCAGAGAUGCUGAAGAUGCAGUUCGAGCCAUGGAUGGAAUGAGAGUUUGUGGUAGCAGAAUAAGAGUGGAAAUGUCUCAUGGUCGAUCAAGAAGAGGACGUGGAGGAGGAGGUCGACGUCCACCUCCACCACCACCACCACCAAGAUUUUGCUUCAAAAUGCUUCAGUAAUGGACCUGGUCAAAACCUUGCAAGGUACUCGUCUCGACUGCAGCCUGCACAAGGUAUCUCCAACGCAGAACACUCUGUUUGAAUUAGCCCACCAAUUUCUACCAUUACACCAGUUAAUGCUGCUCAUCACUUCUUAAAAACAGAACAGCCUACAAACCACAAGGUUUCGGCAAUCAAAUGUCCACUUCUUCCUAAAAACAACAUUGCAACUGUAUCUCAAUCUAUCUUCAUUUGCAUCAUUGGUCUUCCUUGGUCUGCUACCAACCAGCAUUCCAACGUGACACUAUGUAAUCACCUAACCCACAUCUCACCCACACCGUUCAUCUUGGGUGCAUCUUGGAUGCAUCGCUUACAACAUUUCUACCAAUCUUAUCCUACACCUACCUCAGAACUUACUGGCUGUGAUCAGGGCAUAUCAAUCGCCAUUAUGCAUUUUGCCAAAGGCUUCAGUGUCUUUGGUUGAAGAACUACACAUCUCCAAAUCAAACACUGGUCUGUUUCAAAUUCUGUGACCUUGCUCUGGAUAAAACUUUUCCAAAUUACUGUAUCAAUUAUAGUUUUAUUUUUAGUAAAAUAUAGUAUAAUUGUGUUUGUGUUCAGAAGUAGUGUUUAUAUUUCAGUGCUUUAUAGACUUAACACGUGUCAGUUACUUACGCACACACACGUUUAUAGUUAAGAAAUAGGCCAUUAGAUAUUUUUCUUCAAACAAGAAUUAUGUUAACUAAAGUUUAGAUAUUGUUAAAAAUAUAAGACUGGUGGAAUAGUUUUUAUAGUAUUUGGUUGUUUUUCCUUUGGAGUAUGUAUAUUAAUUCAUUUCUAUUGUCAAAUUGUGAUACGUAUAUAGUUGCCAAUAACUCCAUGUUUGUUUUGAGGAAAUGAUAAAAAAUUCUUUGUUACAAGUUUUUUUUUUAAGAUUUUAGAAAUUAGUAAUGUCAUAUUUUGUGUUAGAAAAAACUUCAAUGAAAAAGACAUUGGUAGGUAAGAUAUCUUAGAAAUACUAAUUGGCAGAUUAAAUUAACUUGAAUAAAUAUAAUG